rnacentral:rRNA from 1 species
CCUACGGGAGGCAGCAGUGGGGAAUCUUAGACAAUGGGCGCAAGCCUGAUCUAGCCAUGCCGCGUGAGUGAUGAAGGCCUUAGGGUCGUAAAGCUCUUUCGCCUGKGAAGAUAAUGACUGUAGCAGGUAAAGAAACCCCGGCUAACUCCGUGCCAGCAGCCGCGGUAAUACGGAGGGGGUUAGCGUUGUUCGGAAUUACUGGGCGUAAAGCGCGCGUAGGCGGACAUUUAAGUCAGAGGUGAAAUCCCAGGGCUCAACCCUGGAACUGCCUUUGAUACUGGGUGUCUUGAGUUCGAGAGAGGUGAGUGGAAUUCCGAGUGUAGAGGUGAAAUUCGUAGAUAUUCGGAGGAACACCAGUGGCGAAGGCGGCUCACUGGCUCGAUACUGACGCUGAGGUGCGAAAGUGUGGGGAGCAAACAGGAUUAGAUACCCUGGUAGUCCACACCGUAAACGAUGAAUGCCAGUCGUCGGGCAGUAUACUGUUCGGUGACACACCUAACGGAUUAAGCAUUCCGCCUGGGGAGUACGGUCGCAAGAUUAAAACUCAAANGAAUUGACGGA